AUUGAACGCUGGCGGCAGGCCUAACACAUGCAAGUCGAACGAGUGGCGGACGGGUGAGUAAUGUCUGGGAAAACGCCUGAUGGGGGGGGAUCACUACUGGAAACGGUAGAUAAUACCGCAUACCAUCAGAUGCGCCCAGAGGGGAUUAGCUGGUUGGUGGGGGAACGGCACACAAAGGCCAAGAUCCCUAGCUGGUCUGAGAGGAUGACCAGCAACACUGGAACUGAGACACGGUCCAGACUCCUACGGGAGGCAGCAGUGGGGAAUAUUGCACAAUGGGCGCAAGCCUGAUGCAGCCAUGCCGCGUGUAUGAAGAAGGCCUUCGGGUUGUAAAGGACUUUCAGCGGGGAGGCGUUACCCGCAGAAGAAGCACCGGCUAAAUCCGUGCCAGCCGCCGCGGUAAUUC
rnacentral:rRNA from 1 species